UACGAAGGGGGCUAGCGUUGCUCGGAAUCACUGGGCGUAAAGCGCACGUAGGCGGCUUUCUAAGUCAGGGGUGAAAUCCUGGAGCUCAACUCCAGAACUGCCUUUGAUACUGGGAAGCUCGAGUCCGGAAGAGGUGAGUGGAACUCCGAGUGUAGAGGUGAAAUUCGUAGAUAUUGGGAGGAACACCAGUGGCGAAGGCGGCUCACUGGACCGGUUCUGACGCUGAGGCGCGAAAGCGUGGGGAGCAAACGGG
rnacentral:rRNA from 1 species